GCCUUUCUGUCCAGAAGCAGGUCUCCUGCGUCACCACCUACGAAAUGGCAUUUAAGCAGCUCGGGAGGAAUAAGAAGUCAGAAGCACCCGUGAAGGACACAAAAGACGGCUUGGUUCUAAUCGUCAAAAGAAAAGUAAAGUAUCAACAGGGAAGAAGAUGGUGUCUAUGGUGUGGCUGGUCAGCUUACUGCUUGCCCUUGGAGGGGCUCAGGAGCCCAGCAACGAUAUGACUACAACUACAACUCAAGCGCGUCCCGCGAACCCGACAACCACCUCUCACAAGGGCUUGACAACCGCCCUUCAGAAGGGCUCGGCUUCGCUUCACAGUCAAGUCCAAACCCAGGCAAACAGCAGUCCUGCCCUCAGGGAAAUGGACCACCUUCCACUUCUUUUCUUCCUGGCGCCUUUCAUGCUGCUUUGGGGGACAGUGAGAUAAGCUUCCUGAAUUUUGUGCAGUCAUUACCAUCUACUACAAAAUGGGAAGGAAGCUCAGUGGGAAAGUGUUCAUCUCUACUGCACCUCAAUUACUGAAGAAUUACAACCAUUAUGCUUUCA